GAUGAACGCUGGCGGCGUGCUUAACACAUGCAAGUCGAACGGGAAACCUUUUAUUGAAGCUUCGGCAGAUUUAGCUGGUUUCUAGUGGCGGACGGGUGAGUAACGCGUGGGUAACCUGCCUUAUACAGGGGGAUAACAGUCAGAAAUGGCUGCUAAUACCGCAUAAGCGCACAGAGUUGCAUGGCUCAGUGUGAAAAACUCCGGUGGUAUAAGAUGGACCCGCGUUGGAUUAGCUGGUUGGUGGGGUAACGGCCCACCAAGGCGACGAUCCAUAGCCGGCCUGAGAGGGUGAACGGCCACAUUGGGACUGAGACACGGCCCAGACUCCUACGGGAGGCAGCAGUGGGGAAUAUUGCACAAUGGGGGAAACCCUGAUGCAGCGACGCCGCGUGAAGGAAGAAGUAUCUCGGUAUGUAAACUUCUAUCAGCAGGGAAGAUAAUGACGGUACCUGACUAAGAAGCCCCGGCUAACUACGUG
rnacentral:rRNA from 1 species